UUAAUGGGAACAAGAGCCUUUAAACUUCUGACCUCAGGAUAUUCUAUCCGGAAACAAGUAGUGUUUGAUUUUACAGGACAUGUUGGUGGGAAGGAUGGUGGACAAGAAAGGAGAAACUGCUUUGAGAAAUUGAGCGUCCACCGCGCAUCAUCAUCAUCAUCUUCAUCWUCUUCAUCAUCAUCAUCUUCUUCUUCAUCAUCACAAGACUUUCAAGGAGUCACCGGUUUGAAGAACCUGCCGCCAGGACUUCUCAGAACAAGCGCUUCGGACCAAGACUGAAACCCCAACAAACUGAAACCAACAAACAAAAGUGUUCCAGUUUGUUUUUGAGCAUAAGAUCAAAUGAGUAACUUGUUAAAAAAAAGGGGUUUUGUUUUGUAAAAUAAAAAUGUACAACUUAUUUUAUUAUUUAUUAAACACAAGCCUGGUGGAGUCAUUAAUACUUUAACAGAUGAACUACAACAAUAAAGUUCUGAUUUUUGUAAUUUUGCAAAUAUUUUGUUGUUAAUUAAUUUAUAUAUUCUUUGUUUGGGGCUGAAAUAAAUGAGGCGUUUCUUUCUGUUUGUUGAAGUAUUCAGCUGCUGUUUUGUUACUAAAAUUGACUUAAAAAAGAAUUGUAUGUUAGGUUAAAAUAUGUAUUAAAUUUGAUUUAAGCUUAUGUUGCUUUGGAAAAAAAUGCUGAUGAUGGUCCAAUCAAAAUGUCAUUAAACUUGUAUUGUACUGUGUAUUUUGUCACAUACGUUUUAAUUGUUCCAAAUAAAAUUAACAGUUGA